CCCUUAGAUGUUCUGGGCUGCACGCGCGCUACACUGAUGCGCUCAACGAGUUUACGACCUUGCCCGGAAGGGUUGGGUAAUCUUUUUAAAACGCAUCGUGAUGGGGAUAGAUUAUUGCAAUUAUUAAUCUUUAACGAGGAAUUCCUAGUAAGCGCGAGUCAUCAGCUCGUGCUGAUUACGUCCCUGCCCUUUGUACACACCGCCCGUCGCUCCUACCGAUUGAGUGAUCUGGUGAAUAAUUCGGACUGCAGCAGUGUUCAGUUCCUGAACGUUGCAGCGGAAAGUUUAGUGAACCUUAUCACUUAGAGGAAGGAGGAGUCGUAACA
rnacentral:rRNA from 1 species